GAAACUGGUUAUAAUACGUCAGGAGGCACAAUCCUCAGACGUAUUUACACGUACGCAUGACACCUGACAAACUGACGUUUCACGUCUCACUCUGUUCUCACCCUCAGGCAGCUGUUCGUGAAAUGAAUAACACGACGUAGGAAUAUGGAUCACAAUUCUUUUGGGAUAUCUAAUAUUUGUUCCUCCGUUUUCCACACCACGUAGAGCAGAUCAAAGAGGAUGAGGGAGCAGAUACCUAAUGGAGUUUGAUAAAUUGAUUUAUCCACAUUUGUCAUUCUAUUUUAUGAAGUGAUAAAAAAUCGUCCGUAGGAUGGAGUAAUUGGUAGAAAUAUGUUAACUUUAUCAGUUUACAUUCACCCAUCAUACAUUUUAAAGACUUUCUUUACAAUUCAUAAUUUUAUUAACGUGGUUGCGCGCCAAAUAUUAGCAUUCAUGAGGUUUUCUAAAUGAAAUAUUUAUUAUAUCUUUAACAUCCUCCAACAUAUAUGAACAUCAUGUGUAUGCACGCAUAUAAUAUAUCUGUAUAUGUACAACAAAUGGAAGCCACACGUCUCCCGACUUUUCUUACAACAUUGAAAUAUUUAACAUCACAUAAUAUAACGAUGAACUAAAAAAAUAAUCAUAUACAAAAAUUAUAUCAUCGCGUUUUACGCGAUAUAAAUUCUGAGUGGGUAACAUUAUCACGGGUAUAUAUGUAUACAUCUAGGCGUUUCUAACACCUAGGCAGUAGCUUAUGGUUACAGAAUGUAUUUGCUUGAAAUAUAUGUGUGCUAUAGGAUAACAAACAUUAUAUCAGUGUACAGUAUAUAAAUUCAAUAUGCGUUCACGGAAUAUAAUUGCAACGGGUUUGGAAAAUAGUGGAUAUAAGACGAGUGUUCAACCUUUACCUCCCACCAUUCACAUCUAUGUUGUCAAUUGAUAAAUAUAUUUGACACUGAUUAUAAAAUCAUUGCGUAACUGUAUAUUAAAAAAUUCUAUUUUUGUGCAUAGGAAGUGCAAUCUGUAUAUAUAUACAGAGAAUACGAGAUGAUAUUGCAAGAAAUUAGAAUGGAAAUCGAAAAUCGAGACUGUUUUGUUUCCGUUUUGGUUGUACAUCAAAU